GAAAUGCGAUAAGUAAUGUGAAUUGCAGAAUUCAGUGAAUCAUCGAAUCUUUGAACACACAUUGCGCCCCCUGGUAUUCCGGGGGGCAUGCCUGUUCGAGCGUCAUUUCACCACUCAAGCCUCGCUUGGUAUUGGGCAACGCGGUCCGCCGCGUGCCUCAAAUCGACCGGCUGGGUCUUCUGUCCCCUAAGCGUUGUGGAAACUAUUCGCUAAAGGGUGCUCGGGAGGCUACGCCGUAAAACAACCCCAUUUCUAAGGUUGACCUCGGAUCAGGUAGGGAUACCCGCUGAACUUAGGC
rnacentral:misc_RNA from 1 species